AUACGGAGGGUGCAAGCGUUACUCGGAAUCACUGGGCGUAAAGCGCGCGCAGGCGGGCUGAUAAGUUGGAUGUGAAAGCCUACGGCUCAACCGUAGAACUGCAUCCAAAACUGUCAGUCUAGAGUGUGGGAGAGGAAGAUGGAAUUAGUUGGGUAGGGGUAAAAUCCGUAGAGAUAACUAGGAAUACCAAAAGCGAAGGCAAUCUUCUGGAACACUACUGACGCUGAGGCGCGAAGGCGUGGGGAGCAAACAGGAUUAGAUACCCGGGUAGUCC
rnacentral:rRNA from 1 species